UACGUAGGGCGCAAGCGUUGUCCGGAAUUAUUGGGCGUAAAGAGCUCGUAGGCGGUGUGUCGCGUCGGCCGUGAAAACCUGCAGCUUAACUGUGGGCGUGCGGUCGAUACGGGCAUCACUGGAGUUCGGCAGGGGAGAGUGGAAUUCCCGGUGUAGCGGUGAAAUGCGCAGAUAUCGGGAAGAACACCCGUGGCGAAGGCGGCUCUCUGGGACGGUACUGACGCUGAGACGCGAAAGCGUGGGGAGCGAACAGG
rnacentral:rRNA from 1 species